GUGGCGGACGGGUGAGUAACGCGUGGGUAACCUGCCUCACACAGGGGGAUAGCAGUUGGAAACGACUGGUAAUACCGCAUAAGCGCACAGCUUCGCAUGAAGCGGUGUGAAAAACUCCGGUGGUGUGAGAUGGACCCGCGUCUGAUUAGGUAGUUGGUGAGGUAACGGCCCACCAAGCCGACGAUCAGUAGCCGACCUGAGAGGGUGACCGGCCACAUUGGGACUGAGACACGGCCCAGACUCCUACGGGAGGCAGCAGUGGGGAAUAUUGCACAAUGGAGGAAACUCUGAUGCAGCGACGCCGCGUGAGUGAAGAAGUAUUUCGGUAUGUAAAGCUCUAUCAGCAGGGAAGACAGUGACGGUACCUGACUAAGAAGCUCCGGCUAAAUACGUGCCAGCAGCCGCGGUAAUACGUAUGGAGCAAGCGUUAUUCGGAUUUACUGGGUGUAAAGGGAGUGUAGGUGGUAUCACAAGUCAGAAGUGAAAGCCCGGGGCUCAACCCCGGGACUGCUUUUGAGACUGUGGAACUGGAGUGCAGGAGAGGUAAGUGGAAUUCCUAGUGUAGCGGUGAAAUGCGUAGAUAUUAGGAGGAACACCAGUGGCGAAGGCGGCUUACUGGACUGUAACUGACACUGAGGCUCGAAAGCGUGGGGA
rnacentral:rRNA from 1 species